CACCCUUCGGGGUGAGUGGCAGACGGGUGAGUAACGCGUGGGAACGUACCCUUUGGUUCGGAAUAGCCCUUGGAAACGAGGAGUAAUACCGAAUGANCCCUACGGGGGAAAGAUUUAUCGCCGAAGGAUCGGCCCGCGUUAGAUUAGCUAGUUGGUGAGGUAAUGGCUCACCAAGGCGACNAUCUAUAGCUGGUUUGAGAGGAUGAUCANCCACACUGGGACUGAGACACGGCCCAGACUCCUACGGGAGGCAGCAGNGGGGAAUCUUGGACAAUGGGGGCAACCCUGAUCCAGCCAUGCCGCGUGAAUGAUGAAGGCCUUAGGGUUGUAAAAUUCUUUCAGUGGGNAAGAUAAUGACGGUACCCACAGAANAANCCCCGGCUAACUCCGUGCCAGCAGCCGCGGUAAUACGGAGGGGGCUAGCGUUGUUCGGAAUUACUGGGCGUAAAGCGCGCGUAGGCGGACUAGCCAGUCAGAGGUGAAAGCCCAGGGCUCAACCCUGGAACUGCCUUUGAUACUGUUAGUCUGGAGUCCGGGAGAGGUGUGUGGAAUUCCGAGUGUAGAGGUGAAAUUCGUAGAUAUUCGGAGGAACACCAGAGGCNAAGGCGGCACACUGGACCGGUACUGACGCUGAGGCGCGAAAGCGUGGGGAGCAAACAGGAUUANAUACCCUGGUAGUCCACGCCGUAAACGAUGGAUGCUAGUUGUCUGGCAGCAUGCUGUC
rnacentral:rRNA from 1 species